rnacentral:lncRNA from 1 species
CUAUAGUCUAUUCAUCGGGUACUAAAUCCAUAGCUACCAGUCUUUAUCUAAUAGGUACUAAGUCCAUAGCUACCAAUGUUCAACAGGUACUAAGUCCAUAGCUACCAAUUCCUACAGGUACUAAAUCCUUAGCUACCAGCGUCUAACUAAUAGGUACUAAGUCCAUAGCUACCAAUUUCCAACAGGUACUAAAUCCAUAGCUACCAACGUCUAACAGGUACUAAGUCCAUAGCUACCGGUGUUUGUCCCAUAGGCACUAAGUCUAUAGCUGCCAAUGUAUACUCACGUCAUCUUCUAUCUCUCAUCAUUCAUCUACCCAUCUCAUACCCAACAUAUUCGUAUAUAUAAAAUACGUAUACAGUUUAAAUCCUUUAAAACAUGUAUAAAACGUUCAUCCAACAUAGACAGCAAGUAUUCAGAUAAUAUGCACACAUAGCACGUAAUUUAUAUAAAAUACUUCAUAUCUAUGUGUAAGAUGAAAGUAACUAUGCACUCACCUGAGUAGGUGGUGACUCAGCACUCGGACAGCGCUUCGAUACUCUCAAAACGAUAUUCCUUCGAUAAAACCUAGUAUCGAUACCACUAGGGUUUAGUUUAACGAUAACCGCGACAAAUUAAUUAGUCCGAGUAUUAUUAAGCGUUAAUAACACUCAAUAUAACUCAUAAUAAUAGCCCAAAUAAUUAUUUUAAGGACCUAAUAACAUUCCUAUAAUUAUUUGAAAGCUAUAUUAAAAAUUGCGUAAGCGUAGCACACUUACAGCGAAUUUUAUCGAAAACCGGGACUUAAUUGGAGCAGCGUUUCGAAACCGAAAAACUCCUUUUUCUCGGGACUCCGGGAGCCUCGGGGCUUCCCUAGGGUGCUAAGGGGUUUUUCUAGGGUUUAGGGGGGUUUAGAUGAGCUAGAGAGAGAAACUAGUGAGAGAAAGAAGUGGAUUUGGAGUGAAAAACUCGGAAUGGCUCGCAUGCUAUUUAUAGCCCCAGCAGCCUCGGACUACGCGGCGCGUCCAGCAGCUACGUUGGGCGUAAUCUCGGAUUGGGUCGCCAGCUCGCACCAGCUGGCUCGCACUUCGGAAGAGGAUAAGGACCGAGGGUACGCUGGGCGUACCGAACUCCGACGCGGGGCGUAAAGCGAAGCGAGGCGACGUGGCGAGAUCCGAAGGGCGCUCUGUUGAUCGACGAUGGACGGCUGCGAUGAGGCCACGUCAUCUAUCUCGCAUCAGAUUUCGCAAAUUGCAUGCCCAUCUUUAAAAAUUCAUAACUUUCGCAUACGAGCUCCGUUUUCGACGUUCUUUAUAUCCACGCGAAGGUGGGAACGUACUCUACAACUUUCGUUUAGACUCCGUCGGCUAAUUUUGGCUUGAUUUUAAAUUUUAUAUUAUUAACGGGCCGGGACAGGAUUGGUCCGUUAAAUCCUCAUAACUUCUUCAUCCGACAUCCGUUUUCGCCCAUCUUUUUCACGUUACGCUACUCUUAACGAGAUCUUCGAUUCUCGUUCAGGUCGUGUCGGCUAAAAACCGCUCGAUCUAAUAUUCGAAUUUCGGGCUGUACACUGCUAUUCCGAAACUUCGAAAAAUCAUAACUUCUUCAUACGAAGUCAGAUUUGGGCGUUCUUUUUAUCGAUGUUCUUAGUUUAACAUAUUCUAUGACUUUCGUUUAGAUUGCUAAAGCUAAAUCUCACUCUAUCGUAAAUUCACUAUUUACGCUUCCCGGUAUUGUGCCGGUUCCGUCGCGAAACUUCAACGGGUCAUAACUUCUUCGUUAUAACUCGGAUUUCGGCGUUCCUUAUAUGUACGGAAACCUUGUGACAUACUCUAAAACNUCUACAACUUGGUUAAGAUUAUUUAUUCUAAAUAAUCUUUUGUCGAAAAGUCGUUUUCGACCCCUAUUGCCUCUAAUUUGACUAGCCCGGAUUUGCGGGCGUUACAAUUAUCUCCCCCUUAGGAUGAUUACGUCCCGGAAUCAUCAACGAAAUAGGGUCCUAUAAUGACUCCAUAUGUCAUUUCUUCAUCCUAGGUAAUAAUUAUAACUUCUACAUUCCUUCAAGUCUAUCUCUUAGACUCAUUUACUGUAAGCAAUGCUCGAUCGUGUACCUGCUCUCUACCUUAGCCUAGACUCCCAAUUAUGACCUUCAAGUCACAAUCUCUAUCCUUACUGGAUACGAACUUGAGAUGAUUUCUUUUAUUACUACUAUGGAUUGAUGUGUCAUAUUCUAAUGACCUAUCAUCGUAUGUUGCAACACUUAGACUUAGGUCUCUUAGAGUUAAAUUCUAAAACAGACUAUGCCUUCCUUCAUGUUCUAAUGUGAUAUAAUCACACUUUAACAUUUGGCAUUUCUAGCUACCAACUUCUUUAACAACGAGCGCGAUAUUUCUAUUGAUCGCUUUGAUUUCAAUCGUUUGGUUUAAGUCGGACGCUACAUCGACCUUGAUUUUCUAAACCACAUAGCAUACUUAGCGUAGUCGGACUCAAUUCGAUAUGACCACUAGGGUCGGAAUAUCAACAAUCUUCUUAGUCAUUACCGAAACGAUGGUAACGACACACUUGAAUAAAACGAAAUCAAUUACUAGCUUCUUGGUAACCUUGUGACUUUCCCUGAUCCAAGUGUGAGUCCUGUGCUUCCGGUAGUAUAGGCCUCUACUACCAUUCACACCUACUCAUACUCGUCCCAAGUAUUGUCUCGCAGUUUCCCAAGUCACCAUGCAGCAAAUCACACAACAAUUUAACACACCAGAUAACAAAACGAAGAUUUUAUUAUUUCUUGAAACUAUUACAUAGGUGUUCAAGUUCACCCUAGACUAUGCCUCUAAUAGGCUACAUCAUAAAAUACUAUGGCUACUACAUAACUUGAUCUUACGAUAUGAAGUCCUCAUCCUUGAUUCCUCACCUGGUUCUCUGCUUCGUCGAGGAUCAUGUGAAAUGCCCUUGGCCUUGGUGGCAUUUCUGGUUUUGCUGCUUUAUUUUUCCUUGGGCAGUCUCUGGACAUGUGCCCCUUGCCUCCACAUCCGUAGCAUUUAUCAUUAUGUGUGCAGUCCUUGGAAUAGUGACCAGUCCUCCCACACUUGUAACAAGUCACUUCCUCGUUGCACUUCCCACCAUGCUUCUUCUUGCAUUUAUCACACCAUCUCGCUUCACCUCCAUCUCCUCCUCCAAGCUUUGAGAAUUUGCUUUCCUUGUUCGACCUCGAAGAUCCUUCAAACUUCCGCUUCUCUCCUGCCUUAUCUUUUUCUAGACCCUUUUCUCUUAUCUGGGCCUCUACGUUCUUAGAUGCCCUAAUAGUUGAUUUCAAGGUAGUUGCCAUUUUGACCAUUGGGCCAAAGUCAGUGGGCAGUCCGUUAGCAAACCUAUCAAUCUUGGAGAGUUCAGUAGGCACCAAGUAGGGGAAUAGCUUCAUCCUCUCGGUGAAUGCAGUGGCAUACUCAUCAACACUCAUCUUCCCUUUCUUCAGGUUCUGAAACUCGUUGUUUGGGUCUAUCAGAUCUACCUCCGAGAAGUACUGCAUUUUCAACUAUUCCAAGAACUCCUCCCAUGACAUCCUUAGGGCUUCUCCUCGUGGCAUCGUAUCUACCAAUAGCUUCUACCUGCUCAAGACUCCAGUUUUCAGCUGUCUUACUGCGAAGACAGUCUUCUGUUUCUCGUUACAGCUGCAGCUCUCAAACACCAUCUCCAUCUCAGAGAUCCAAUCCAUAAUCUCAACCGGCUUUGGGCUUCCUGAGAGGCUUGGUGGUUUCGCACCCAAGAAAUUCUUGUACAUCCGCCCAUCCUUGUUGUUUCUCCCUUCUGGGCCAUCCCUUUGCUCACCUCGAGUCCCUACUUGACUCACUUGACGGCUUCCUCAGAUUGCUCGGGAACUAGCUCCGUCGGUUAACAUGUACGGUAGGUUCGUCCCUAUUCAACAUCCGUCUCAUUUCUUCCCUUUGUUCAGCCAACAUAGCCCGAAUCAUGGCUUGAACUCCAGCCAUGGUGACUGGCUCAGGCGCAUCUUCUUCUACAACAGGUAUUUGUUGAACCACUGGGGGUUGGUUUUUGUUCCCAUUUGCGCUUACGUUUCUGGUACGGGUUCUUGCCAUCUUGAUCUAUACACCAAAUAAGGUGAAUAUAGAUCUUAAUUUAGGAUUGACGUCUUAAAUCAUACUUAUCACCCCGAAACGUUUAUAUGCUAGUUCUAAUAUCGUAGUUAAACGCUUAGAAUCCUAAACACAUAAGGUUUCCAGAUCCGGUCGGCAACAGACCAUAGAUCCGAACAAAUAACAACAUAUCAUGCACAAAGCAUUUAGCACAUAAAAGCAAUUUAGGCAUCAUUCCUAAAAUAAGCUAGUGCUCACACCUCACAAUCAUCGCUUAGCAUUCUAAGUUUAAGUCUAGAAAUAAAUCCAUAUUCCUAGUUCACUUAAACAAAUGCUCUGAUACCAACUGUGACAUCCCCAAAAUCAUGGCAAGAAAAGACCGGUUUGUUUAUGCUUUGUAAAAAUCAGAGUACUUCAUUUUAUAAAAAGGUUGCGGAAUUUGUUCCCAGAAAAACAUGUGGUAAUACGUUAUUAAAACAUUUUUGAAGAAACGUAUUUAUUUCAUUUUAAAACGUUUGGGAUGUCAUCGUUAAUACCGAAACAUAAGCAUAAACAGAACUUACAAUGAUUUACACUACUGAUCUACAUCUCUUUAAAUCUCUCAGUGUAAUGUCACUUCACUUCGUCACCUGUGAUAUACAUAAACUGAGUGGGUCAGGUUGGGAAACCUGGUGAGUACAUAGGGUUUUCAACCCACAAUAAUAUAAUUGUUAUGUUCAAUCAUCAAACAAUUAACCCAAUUACCCAUCCCCGUUAUCUUCUUUACUAUUAAGGAUUUAACCUAAGAGUCAUCUAUCCUGCAUUCGUUUAUUCCGAAGUCCCUUACUUCCAGGGUUAUAGGACUGGCACUAAAUCCAUAGCUGCCAAUGUUCGUUCAUAAAGCACUAAUUCCAUAGCUGCUAUAGUCUAUUCAUCGGGUACUAAAUCCAUAGCUACCAGUCUUUAUCUAAUAGGUACUAAGUCCAUAGCUACCAAUGUUCAACAGGUACUAAAUCCUUAGCUACCAGCGUCUAACUAAUAGGUACUAAGUCCAUAGCUACCAAUUCCCAACAGGUACUAAAUCCAUAGCUACCAACGUCUAACAGGUACUAAGUCCAUAGCUACC